rnacentral:rRNA from 1 species
UACGUAGGGUGCAAGCGUUAAUCGGAAUUACUGGGCGUAAAGCGUGCGCAGGCGGUUCUAUAAGACAGAUGUGAAAUCCCCGGGCUCAACCUGGGAACUGCAUUUGUGACUGUAGAGCUGGAGUGCGGCAGAGGAAGGUGGAAUUCCAGGUGUAGCGGUGAAAUGCGUAGAGAUCUGGAGGAACACCGAUGGCGAAGGCAGCCUUCUGGGCCAACACUGACGCUCAUGCACGAAAGCGUGGGGAGCAAACAGG